GNAACNUGCUUUUGUCGGAACGAAAAGGCCCUGGUGAACAACCGGGGUUGCUGACGGUACCGUAAGAAUAAGCACCGGCUAACUACGUGCCAGCAGCCGCGGUAAUACGUAGGGUGCGAGCGUUAAUCGGAAUUACUGGGCGUAAAGCGUGCGCAGGCGGACAUGCAAGACAGAUGUGAAAUCCCCGGGCUCAACCUGGGAACUGCAUAUGUGACUGUAUGACUGGAGUACGGCAGAGGGGGAUGGAACUCCGCGUGUAGCAGUGAAAUGCGUAGAUAUGCGGAGGAACGCCGAUGGCGAAGGCAAUCCCCUGGGCCAGUACUGACGCUCAUGCACGAAAGCGUGGGGAGCAAACAGGAUUAGAUACCCUGGUAGUCC
rnacentral:rRNA from 1 species